AGCAUYGGUUCCGGCGGUCDSAUAAAGGCCUUDGGAAUGYAACUCCCUUCGGGGAGUCUUAUAGCCCUCGGUGCAAUGCGGCCAGCCGGGACNGAGGACCGCGCUUCGGCUAGGAUGCUGGCRUAAUGGUUGUCAGCGACCCGUCUUGAAACACGGACCAAGGAGUCUAACAUCUAUGCGAGUGUUUGGGUGUUAAACCCAUNCGCGGAAUGAAAGUGAACGGAGGURWGAACCCSCUAGGGCGCAUCAUCGCCCGAUCCAGAUGUCUUCGGAUGGAUUUGAGUAWGAGCAUNGAUGUUGGGACCCGAAAGAUGGUGAACUAUGCCUGAAUAGGGUGAAGCCAGAGGAAACUCUGGUGGA
rnacentral:rRNA from 1 species